ACAGGGAACAGAUCAGAAAGCAGCAGAAGGGACCAAAUGCAGAAUGUCUGCCCAACUCCAGCCUCUGUCUGUACCAUGUGUGAAUAGGCUACUGGUGGAGACUUAGGCAGAUGUUUCCAGCAGGAGUCAUGCAGCACGUUUGUGGGGUCAGAUGUGAAAGCUGGACAAUGAAGAAGACUGCCAGGAGAAAAAUGGAUUCAAUUGAAAUAUGGUGUUGGAAGAGACCCCUACGGAUACCCUGGACUUCCAGAAAGAUGGACAGGUGGGUCCUGGAGUAAAGUAAGCCUGAACUAUCACUGGAGACAAAAAGGAUAAAAGUGAGCCUGUCCUACUUUGGGCACAUCGUGAGAAGGCGGGAUUCUUUGGAAAACACAAUAAUGCUGGAAAAGUAGAAGGCAGCACGAAAAGAGGAAGACCAAAUCUGAGAUGGAUUGACUCUAUAAAGGAAGCCAUAGCCCUGCGUCUACAGGAGCUGAGCAGGGCUGUUGAGGACAGGACAUUGUGGACGUCACUCACUCAUAGGGUUGCCAGGAGUUGGAGCCUACUUGAUGGCACGUAACAACGAUAUCAAUGUUUAUUGGAAAAUAAUACAGUAUCAAUGUCAGUUGUCUUAUUUUGAUAAUUGUCCUGUGGGUAUGUAUAAGAAUAUCCUUAAUUUAGAAAACACGCAUUGAAGUAUUAUGGAGUAAAGAGCACGAUGUCUGCAACUUACUCUCAAACAGUUCAGAAAAUGUGUGUGUGUGUGUGUAUGUGGGGAGAGGGAGAAAGAAUGAAUAACAAAUCAAAUAUAUUAAAAUGCUAAUGCUUCUGGAAUAUGGGUGAAGCAUACACCAGUAUUAUUUGUACUAUAUUUAUG
rnacentral:lncRNA from 1 species